GGAAGUUGGCUUGUAGCUCAGUGGCAGAGCACCUGUUGUGCAAGCAGACGGUCCCUGUUUCAAUUCCUGGCAACUCCA